rnacentral:rRNA from 1 species
GUGGGGAAUAUUGGACAAUGGGCGAAAGCCUGAUCCAGCCAUGCCGCGUGUGUGAAGAAGGUCUUCGGAUUGUAAAGCACUUUAAGUUGGGAGGAAGGGCAGUAAGUUAAUACCUUGCUGUUUUGACGUUACCGACAGAAUAAGCACCGGCUAACUUCGUGCCAGCAGCCGCGGUAAUACGAAGGGUGCAAGCGUUAAUCGGAAUUACUGGGCGUAAAGCGCGCGUAGGUGGUUUUGUAAGUUGGAGGUGAAAUCCCCGGGCUCAACCUGGGAACUGCCUGCAAAACUGCAUGACUAGAGUACGGUAGAGGGUAGUGGAAUUUCCUGUGUAGCGGUGAAAUGCGUAGAUAUAGGAAGGAACACCAGUGGCGAAGGCGACUACCUGGACUGAUACUGACACUGAGGUGCGAAAGCGUGGGGAGCAAACAGGAUUAGAAACCCUAGUAGUCC